rnacentral:rRNA from 1 species
UACGGGGGGAGCAAGCGUUGUUCGGAUUUACUGGGCGUAAAGGGCGCGUAGGCGGUCGUGACAAGUCACUUGUGAAAUCUCCGGGCUUAACUCGGAACGGUCAAGUGAUACUGUCGGACUAGAGUACAGAAGGGGCAACUGGAAUUCUCGGUGUAGCGGUGAAAUGCGUAGAUAUCGAGAGGAACACCUGCGGCGAAGGCGGGUUGCUGG